UUCAUUAGAGACAUCAGAGACUGAGGUACUAAUGUGACUUUGUCCCGUCUCCACUGACUGUAGGCGAUGAUUCCAUCUACCACUCGAUCCACGGGGGAAACGCUGACCGAUGCGGCGAUGAGGCCCCGUUACACGCCAUUCAGCUCGGUGGUCUCGAAGGGACGAGUGAUUAUGAAGAGCCAGACGAGGACUGACACUAUAAUAACGUGAAUCCAGAUCUAUCCGGAGAAGUGCAACGUCGACAAGACAAGUGAAGAAAAACGGAUAGAUGGUUACAAACUUCAUCUUCAUGUUCAUGCAGCAGAACAACAGCUCCUUAGAUGUCUUUGUAAUCUAAAUGAUAUAAUAUAUAUUUUCACCAUGUGUGUCAUGUGUUGCCGUCCUUUACAUUGUACUUAUUGAGAUGUAUACAUGCAUAUGUCAUAUAAUCCAUAUAUUUAUCUAUUCAGUUUAUAAAUGUAUAUUAUUACUUUUUAUUUUCUGCUUUUUAUAUAUUAUUCUAUGAUAUAUAAUCAAAGCUUUGGUUCACAUACUGUCCAUUGUGUACCUUUAAAUGUCCUACCUUUGUCCUCUCUUUCCCAGCCGUCCAACAAUGAGAGCAAAUGUCUAAUUCCUUAUUAUUACCAUUCC